rnacentral:rRNA from 1 species
UUACACAUGCAGUCGAACGGUGAAGCGGGUGCUUGCACUCGUGGAUCAGUGGCGAACGGGUGAGUAACACGUGAGUAACCUGCCCUCCACUCUGGGAUAAGCGCUGGAAACGGCGUCUAAUACUGGAUACGACCGACCCUCGCAUGGGGUGUUGGUGGAAAGAUUUAUCGGUGGUGGAUGGACUCGCGGCCUAUCAGCUUGUUGGUGGGGUAAUGGCCUACCAAGGCGACGACGGGUAGCCGGCCUGAGAGGGCGACCGGCCACACUGGGACUGAGACACGGCCCAGACUCCUACGGGAGGCAGCAGUGGGGAAUAUUGCACAAUGGGCGAAAGCCUGAUGCAGCGACGCCGCGUGAGGGAUGACGGCCUUCGGGUUGUAAACCUCUUUCAGCAGGGAAGAAGCUUUUGUGACGGUACCUGCAGAAGAAGCACCGGCUAACUACGUGCCAGCAGCCGCGGUAAUACGUAGGGUGCGAGCGUUGUCCGGAAUUAUUGGGCGUAAAGAGCUUGUAGGCGGUUUGUCGCGUCUGCUGUGAAAAUUCAGGGCUUAACCCUGGACGUGCAGUGGGUACGGGCAGACUAGAGUAUGGUAGGGGAGACUGGAAUUCCUGGUGUAGCGGUGGAAUGCGCAGAUAUCAGGAGGAACACCGAUGGCGAAGGCAGGUCUCUGGGCCAUUACUG